CAAACUAACAACGGAUGCCCCUAGUUAGCGGCGAGUGAAGCGGGAAGAGCUCAAAUUUGUAAUCUGGCGUCUUUCAGGCGUCCGAGUUGUAAUCUAUAGAAGUGUUUUCCGUGCUGGACCAUGUCCAAGUCCCUUGGAACAGGGUAUCAAAGAGGGUGACAAUCCCGUACUUGACAUGACCACCAGUGCUCUGUGAUACACUUUCUACGAGUCGAGUUGUUUGGGAAUGCAGCUCAAAAUGGGUGGUAAAUUCCAUCUAAAGCUAAAUAUUGGCGAGAGACCGAUAGCGAACAAGUACCGUGAGGGAAAGAUGAAAAGCACUUUGGAAAGAGAGUUAAACAGUACGUGAAAUUGUUGAAAGGGAAACGAUUGAAGUCAGUCGUGUUCAUUGGACUCAGCCGGUUCUUCCGGUCUAUUUCCUUUGAACGGGUCAACAUCAGUUUUGUCCGGUGGAUAAAGGCAGAGAGAAAGUGGCUCCCUCGGGAGUGUUAUAGCUUUCUGUCACAUACACUGGAGGAGACUGAGGACUGCAGCUCGCCUUUUGGCCGGGGUUCGCCCACGUUCGA
rnacentral:rRNA from 1 species